CACGGGAAAUGUUUUAUAUUUGUUAAUUAUAAACAUAACAUAUAUAUAACAUAUAUACUGGUGGAAACGCUUUUUGGAUACAGAUGCAAAUAGAACAGGUGAUACCUUAUAGGUCUUGGAUGUCGAUGAGAGAUAGAUAUCUAAAACACAUCAGAAUUAGAGCAGCAGAAUCAAUUACAGUACGUAUCUGUGACAUCAAAAUCAGGCGUAUGGUGCACUUUGACGGGUGUCGGUAAAAGCCGGAACCGGGAACCCCACAAG